AUUUAAAUAGCUUAUAAAGAGUAUAAUUUUGAAGAAAUUAUGGAAGUUUAAUACUUUUAAAUA
rnacentral:tRNA from 1 species